rnacentral:rRNA from 1 species
AUUGAACGCUGGCGGCAUGCCUUACACAUGCAAGUCGAACGGCAGCACGGGAGCAAUCCUGGUGGCGAGUGGCGAACGGGUGAGUAAUAUAUCGGAACGUGCCCAGUCGUGGGGGAUAACGCAGCGAAAGCUGUGCUAAUACCGCAUACGAACUAUGGAAGAAAGCGGGGGAUGGCAAGACCUCGCGCGAUUGGAGCGGACGAUAUCAGAUUAGCUAGGUGGUGGGGUAAAGGCCCACCAAGGGGACGAUCUGUAGCUGGUCUGAGAGGACGACCAGCCACACUGGAACUGAGACACGGUCCAGACUCCUACGGGAGGCAGCAGUGGGGAAUUUUGGACAAUGGGCGCAAGCCUGAUCCAGCAAUGCCGCGUGCAGGAUGAAGGCCUUCGGGUUGUAAACUGCUUUUGUACGGAACGAAACGGUCCUUUCUAAUACAGAGGGCUAAUGACGGUACCGUAAGAAUAAGCACCGGCUAACUACGUGCCAGCCGCCGCCGUAA